rnacentral:rRNA from 1 species
AUUGAACGCUGGCGGAAUGCUUUACACAUGCAAGUCGAACGGCAGCACGGGGGCAACCCUGGUGGCGAGUGGCGAACAGGUGAGUAAUACAUCGGAACGUGCCCAGUCGUGGGGGAUAACUACGCGAAAGCGUAGCUAAUACCGCAUACGAUCUACGGAUGAAAGCGGGGGAUCGCAAGACCUCGCGCGAUUGGAGCGGCCGAUGGCAGAUUAGGUAGUUGGUGGGGAAAGGCUCACCAAGCCAACGAUCUGUAGCUGGUCUGAGAGGACGACCAGCCACACUGGGACUGAGACACGGCCCAGACUCCUACGGGAGGCAGCAGUGGGGAAUUUGGACAAUGGGCGAAAGCCUGAUCCAGCCAUUCCGCGUGCAGGAUGAAGGCCCUCGGGUUGUAAAC